rnacentral:rRNA from 1 species
GAUGAACGCUGGCGGCGUGCCUAAUACAUGCAAGUCGAGCGAACAGACGAGGCGCUUGCUCCUCUGACGUUAGCGGCGGACGGGUGAGUAACACGUGGAUAACCUACCUAUAAGACUGGGAUAACUUCGGGAAACCGGAGCUAAUACCGGAUAAUAUAUUGAACCGCAUGGUUCAAUAGUGAAAGACGGUUUUGCUGUCACUUAUAGAUGGAUCCGCGCCGCAUUAGCUAGUUGGUAAGGUAACGGCUUACCAAGGCAACGAUGCAUAGCCGACCUGAGAGGGUGAUCGGCCAGACUGGAACUGAGACACGGUCCAGACUCCUACGAGAGGCAGCAGUAGGGAAUCUUCCGCAAAGGGCGAAAGCCGGACGGAGCGACGCCGCGUGAGUGAUGAAGGUCUUAGGAUCGUAAAACUCUGUUAUUAGGGAAGAACAAAUGUGUAAGUAACUAUGCACGUAUUGACGGUACCUAAUCAGAAAGCCACGGCUAACUACGUG